CCGCAGCACCUAUAACAUCUGUCUCAGCACUGCGAUUCUUGUAUGUUCACGUUGGUGAAGUGCCUCCUCACAAUCUAUUUCAAAGGCUGCAAAGGCCCAGGCGCCGGGGCGGCCUAAUCAUCAAGCUGCAGUGAAGGGCAGGAGUAAACAUGAUAUCCCUACGAGGCUUCAUCUGUUUGAGGAACUGAUCUCUGCUUCAGUUUGUCUUGUCCCUACCAAGAUUGGGCACUUGUCCUUAUGCAACACCAGCUCCUCAUCAUUUUGAUGGUUCAGCUUCACACUUGGAGGCCUACCGAUGGUGUCUCGCAAUCCAGUUUAAAGUGUCCAAAUCACUGAGGAACAACACAAGUGAACCUGGAGUCAUCAGGAACAUCAGAUGGCUAAUAUAGAAUGCUAAUGUAUAUUGCUGCUGUUUUCUUUCUAUCAGCAAAUAUAUCUGGACAUUCGCAAAACCAAGAGCUGUCUUGUUAAUCUCCUCACUUUUCCAGACCACUCUACUUUGGAGUUAGGAUUUGGAGGUUAUCCCAGAUCUAUCCUUAACUAUUGAGAGCUUUUGUGCUUCUCAUUGAUUAGGUUUUGAUAUUGGUUAAUAUACUGGAUGUGAUAUAAAUCUAAAAGCAGUGUUCCAGCUGCUUCUUUCUCUCCUACUUUUCUGGCCAAACCUCUAUGAAGAAUUUGAGCUAAAACAUACACUGAAAAUUCAUUUAAUCACUCUGUCCUCUUACAAAAAUAUUCCAUCCUAACCGCAUGUCCUUGUAAUGGCAAGGUUUCAGUAGUGCUUAUAGGACCUAAAAUCACACUGUACUAGGAAACAGA